rnacentral:tRNA from 1 species
GGUCAUGUGGCCGAGGGGCUAGGCAUAGGUCUGCAAAACCUGUUACGCUGGUUCGAAUCCAGUCGUGACCU